rnacentral:rRNA from 1 species
CCUACGGGGGGCAGCAGUAGGGAAUAUUGGACAAUGGAGGAAACUCUGAUCCAGCCAUCCCGCGUGAAGGAUUAAGGUCCUAUGGAUUGUAAACUUCUUUUCUUUGGGAAUAAAAUCUCCGAUUCCUCGGAGCUUGAAGGUACCAGGGGAAUAAGCACCGGCUAACUCCGUGCCAGCAGCCGCGGUACUACGGAGGGUGCAGGCGUUAUCCGGAUUCACUGGGUUUAAGGUGGUCGUGGAUGGCAGUGUAGAAAGCCUACAGCGUAACUGUAGAAUUGCCAUUGAGACUGCUUAACUUGAAUCAAGUCGAAGUGGAUGGAAUAGAUCAUGUAGCGGUGAAAUGCUUAGAUAUGAUUUAGAACACCAAUUGCGAAGGCAGUUCACUAGGCUUGUAUUGACACUGAGGCACGAAAGCGUGGGGAUCAAACAGGAUUAGAUACCCGAGUAGUC